rnacentral:lncRNA from 13 species
GCAAUAUCUAAAUAAAUGAUCACCUUGGAGAAUUUUUUAAAAUGCUACCGUAUACAGUAGAAAUAAUUGUUGUGGAAACUGAGGACUUCAGGGAGCUAAUAAGGAUCACCACAACAACACAUGAUUUGUUAAUUUGGAUCAAUCUGCAGUUAGGUUGACAAAAAGCCAGGAUUUCAAAUGACAGGAUUUCUCAACAGCAUUGCUAUACAUACAGUAGUUAGCGACCAACAUGCAAAUACACAUUCAUUACAUGACCUCCUGUACUAGUUCCAGCCACGAGUACAACAUUUGCUCAUUACAUGUGUGCUAUGCGCUGAAGCUCAGAACAAAUGGAUAGCAUCAAAGAAGCAGUCAGUGGAGAGGAAAUGUACAAUAAAACUCUCUCUUUCACUUUCUGUCUCUCUCUCAUCGGCCCUGCGAUCUGUGCUGGCUGGAAUUGUGUGGAAUACCAGCGUUAGCCUACGUAUGCCGGCCAAAGUUCAAAAAGUUUGGAGUAAUGGAGAGGACAGUGUUUCGCUAUCACAGAGAAGGCCAAGACCUUUGUAACAGUUUGCAGUUCUCCAAGGGGAAGGUGGAUGUCAUGAAAGAGACUAGCAGCAAGAUGGCAACAAACUCUUCCGGGUAUGCUGGAAUCGGGCUGGCUUUGUAUUGCCUGUCCCUAAUUGCAUGUUCAUUGUCCUCCCUCCCUCCCAAAAGCCAGAGAGGACUGAGAGAGCCAAGCUUCCGGGUCAGUAGCUUCAGCCCAACAUCACAUAUACACACAAAAAUACACCAACUGACACUCACAAACACCUGA